AGGCGGCUGGGGACCGCGGGGCGGACGCGGGCGAGCAUGUCCGCUCUGAUUCGGCUAGCGUCUUUCGCUCGCGUUGGAGGCCGCCUUUUCAGAAGCGGCCGCGCACGGACUGCUGGAGAUGGUGGAGUCCGCCAAUACUGAAUGAAUAAUAUAAUUGGUAUAUGAGGACAUUACAGAAACAGUAUGCUAUGUCAUUCAAGUUGUAAAGUGGCGAUAUUUGUGCCAGUGGUGGUGUGCACCUUGAGCCCCGGUAUAGACAGUUCCCCCAGCUGACCAGAUCCCAGGUGUUCCAGAGCGAGUUCUUCAGCGGACUCAUGUGGUUCUGGAUUCUCUGGCGCUUUUGGCAUGACUCAGAAGAGGUGCUGGGUCACUUCCCGUAUCCUGAUCCUUCCAAGUGGACAGAUGAAGAAUUAGGUAUCCCUCCUGAUGAUGAAGACUGAAGGUGUAGACUCAGCCUCACUCUGUACAA
rnacentral:sRNA from 1 species